UGACUGGACUUUUAGAGCUGUGACUUUGAUUUCCCUCUGUCUGUGUCUGUGCAAAAUUUCUCAGUCAUUAGGUUAUGGAAUCCAUGGUUAUCAUCAAAAUUAAAGAGAAUGAAAGCUUUGCUACGAAGGAUUGGGCGCUGCGAGUAUGUUAGUCACUCCUCCACAUGAUACAUGAGUGGCAGUACAGACAGGAAGGAAGAGUGAAAUCGCCAGCUAAGCAGGCUGUGGGCCUUGGUGAACAACUUUCCAACUUAGGAAGAGAAAAGAGAAGAAAGAACCAGGAAAGCAUGACGGAAUUGGGGUCAAUAGUAAUCACAUUUGGGUGAGGAUCUGUUUGAUUAAUGAUCAUAUUAAUCCUUGAGUUUCAGGGACAAGCCUCUGACCUUUUCUUCUACAACUGUAACAGUAU
rnacentral:lncRNA from 1 species